rnacentral:rRNA from 1 species
AGAGUUUGAUCCUGGCUCAGGACGAACGCUGGCGGCGCGCUUAACACAUGCAAGUCGUACGGAGCCCUUCGGGGUUCAGUGGCGAACGGGUGCGUAACACGUGAGUAACCUGCCCUUGUGCGGGGGAUAACCCGGGGAAACCCGGGCUAAUACCGCAUGUUCUCUAUUGGGCUUUGGCCUGGAAGAGGAAAGGUGCCGCAAGGCACCGCGCAGGGAGGGGCUCGCGGCGUAUCAGCUAGUUGGUGAGGUAACGGCUCACCAAGGCGACGACGCGUAGGGGGUCUGAGAGGAUGGCCCCCCACAUUGGGACUGAGAUACGGCCCAGACUCCUACGGGAGGCAGCAGUGGGGAAUCUUGCGCAAUGGCCGAAAGGCUGACGCAGCGACGCCGCGUGUGGGAGGAAGCUCUUCGGGGUGUAAACCACUGUCAGGAGGGACGAAGGUCCAGGGGAGGCAAUGCCCUUGGGAUGACGGUACCUCCAGAGGAAGCGCCGGCUAACUCCGUGCCAGCAGCCGCGGUAAUACGGAGGGCGCGAGCGUUGUUCGGAAUUAUUGGGCGUAAAGCGCACGUAGGCGGCUCGAAAAGUCUCUUGUGAAAGCCCGGGGCUCAACCCCGGGAGGCCAGGGGAUACUGUCGAGCUGGAGACAGGCAGAGGCUGGUGGAAUUUCCGGGUGUAGCGGUGGAAUGGCGUAGAGAUCCGGAGGAACACUGGAGGCGAAGGCGGCCAGCUUGGGGCCUGAUUCUGAACGCUUAGGUAAAGCUGGGAACGAACAGAUUAAUACCCUGUAGUCCACCCGUAACAAUGGCAACUAAAUCCGGUGGGAACGACCCCAUCGUUGUCGGAGCUAACGCAUUAAAUCCCCCCCCUGGGGAGUACGACCGCAAGGUUGAAACUCAAAGGAAUUGACGGGGGCCCGCACAAGCGGUGGAGCAUGUGGUUUAAUUUCGAAGCAACGCGAAGAACCUUACCUGGGCUUGACAUGCUAGAGAAAGCCUGGUGAAAGCCAGGCCCUCCUUCGGGACUCUAGCACAGGUGCUGCAUGGCUGUCGUCAGCUCGUGUCGUGAGAUGUUGGGUUAAGUCCCGCAACGAGCGCAACCCCUGCCUGCUGUUGCUAACGGGGUCGAAAGACUCCGAGGACUUGCAGGGACUGCCGGUGAUAAACCGGAGGAAGUUNGGGACGACGUCNAGUCAUCAUGGUCCUUACGUCCAGGGCUACACACGUGCUACAAUGGCCGGGACAAACCGUUGCAAUGCCGCGAGGUGGAGCGAAUCAGGAAAAACCCGGUCUAAGUUCGGAUUGCAGUCUGUAACUCGACUGCAUGAAGUUGGAAUCGCUAGUAAUCGUGGAUCAUGCUACGCCACGGUGAAUCCGUUCCCGGGCCUUGUACACACCGCCCGUCACGCCAUGGAAGUUGGUAGCGCCCGAACGUCCGUGAGCCAACCGUAAGGAGGCAGUCGGCCGUAAGGCGAGAUUCGAUGACUGGGGCGAAGUCUGUACAAGGUAGCCGUAGGGGUAGCCUGCGGCUGGUAUCACCUCCUUA